CAGGCAUACAUCCGGGGGUUUGCUGCAGGAAUUACUCUGGGGAUUUGCUCAAGGAUCGGAAAUCCAGAGUCAGCAUCUUCGAAGCAGAUAACAACUCUUCCCAAUCGCCGGUACGCCGAAUUUUUACAUGAACCGGACUCCGAGACGAGAAAUUAUGGACAUGCUUAUUCGAUGGCGGACAUGCCGGGGUUAUGUCAACCAUGUUGUUGCAAAAACGGAACGAACUGCUAGAACAAAGCGAUGGGAAAUUAAAAAAAAAUAUUUUGUGAAAUUUCAAAUGUAUAUGUGUAUGGAAUCAAUAAAAAUAAAGUUUUGCACAUCGAUUGCUCAACGUAAAGAGCUGCUAAUUUAAA